rnacentral:misc_RNA from 1 species
AACUUUUGGCAACGGAUCUCUUGGUUCUGGCAUCGAUGAAGAACGCAGCCAAAUGCGAUAAAUAAUGUGAAUUGCAGACUUCCGUGAAUCAUCGAAUCUUUGAACGCAUAUUGCGCCUAUUAGUAUUCUAGUAGGCAUGCCUAUUCGAGCGUCGUCUCUCCACUCAAGCCUCAAGUAGGCUGGUGUUAGAGAUCUGCCUUGGCUGGUCUCCGAAAUAUAGUGGCCGCAAAUACAGCCCCUUUCUACGCAGUAAAUCUUCCUCGUUUAAAGACUGGACGUGUGUGCCUCGCUACAUGUUAUUUGACCUCGAAUUAGGUAGGAAUACCCGCUGAACUUAAGCAUAUCAAUAAGCGGAGGCU